UACGUAGGGUGCGAGCGUUGUCCGGAAUUAUUGGGCGUAAAGAGCUCGUAGGUGGUUUGUCGCGUUGUUCGUGAAAUCUCACGGCUUAACUGUGAGCGUGCGGGCGAUACGGGCAGACUGGAGUACUGCAGGGGAGACUGGAAUUCCUGGUGUAGCGGUGGAAUGCGCAGAUAUCAGGAGGAACACCGGUGGCGAAGGCGGGUCUCUGGGCAGUAACUGACGCUGAGGAGCGAAAGCGUGGGGAGCGAACAGG
rnacentral:rRNA from 1 species